AGUGUUCCACCGCGUUCCAUGGUUUACCACGGAACAACACGGAACAGCCUCCCGCGCGACCCCGAGCUCUCCUUGCCCUCGACCUAUCUCUUCCUCUGCUCCUCCUGCGUCUCCACCCCCCGAGCACUUCCUUCUCCUGCAUCUCCGUCUCCGCCCCCGUCUUCACUCCUUCUCCUCUGUCUCCACUGGAGGGCGACCGCCGCAGCAUCGCUUGAUAGUUUGUUUCCUUUCUGAGCUCUCUCGCUCUCUCAAUCUCGAUUCGCGGGCAGCCCGUCACCGACCCACGGCCGACCGACUGUGCCUGUGCAAGCUACAGUGGGCCAACAACCUCGGAAAGCGGCGGCUUUUCCUAUACACUCUGGUGGUGUUUUUGGGCGGUCCUCCUCCACGCCAAUAGGCAACAACAACUGAAGCCCUCUUCCUCCGUGCAUCUCCGUCCACCGGUGAGAGAUGAGUAGCCACCAUGACAAACUACAGUGGGAUGAAGAGUGAAGAGCAAGUGCAGUUUUUAUUUGAGAUGAUGUUAGAGCAAGCUAAGAUUUCAGGAAUGCGGACAUCAGGAAGACUAAAAGAAACAACUAUGAAGGUGGUUGAACAAAAAAUGAUGGAAGCAUUUGGACCAAUGUAUAUAUUAAAGAAGAGCUCAAACAUCCUAUGUAUUUGAUUAAAUGUAUGCUUUUACUCCUUACAAAAAGAGUUCAUUUGAAAUACUUUCAGAACCGAGGUGAAGGGCACACGCUCUUAUAUUAUUUGAACAUGUUCCUUCCAAUGUGAUGUGAAUGCUUCCUUAUUUGUUCACUA